rnacentral:lncRNA from 1 species
UGACAAGCUAGAGAAGCAUAGUCUAUGUGAAGAAAUGGACCUUGGGCCUAACUCAAUCUCAAAAGCUAGCUCAAGAGGUGAGGAUUACCCAAGUCCAUAUAAGCAAACCACUAGUCCAUUCCCCAACCAAUGUGGGACUUUUACCCACUCUAACAUUCUAGUGGUUAAGAGUGUGCAUUUCCGCAUCAACAACCCGGGUUUAAAUCUUGACAGGUGCAGCAGUGCUUUAUUUUCUUUGUUUUUUAAACAGUUCUUUGCCCAAGGAAAAAUAUAAACACCCUUAACCAAAAGUCUGGCUCCGCCACUGUUUACGGCUUUCGAUAUCAACACUAUGGUUUUCAAUCUAAAUAGUUUUAAUUUCAACCAAUCUACAGUUGAUAAUCAAGGGCUUUCCUUUCUUUCUUAAAAUACAUGCCAAAUCAAACUUUCUUAAAAUACAUGCCAAAUCAAACUAUGUCACAUAAAUUGUGACGAUUAAUUUUUACUUACCCAACAGUGUCUUGCCUAUGUGAAAUUGGGAUAACACCUGCCCUGCUAGUGAGGCCAACAGUUGGUUUGAUUCCAACAACUGAAUUAGCAUUGGCUGGAUAUAGAAUGGAUCCUGCUGUUUCUGUCCCCAAUGCUAGUGCUGCAAG